rfam:Gossypium arboreum cultivar AKA8401 contig_39674_3, whole genome shotgun sequence.
AACCCAUGGUAUGAGCACCUGUGCAACAAUAGUUUGAAUCUUUCCCAUGCUUCAUAAUUAGUCACCCCCUCAAUUUGGCGAAAAUUAGUGAUGUCUUUGUUGGAU